CUCAGGGAGGUGGCCCAGGGCGGAGGCCAAGGUGGAGUUGGGGGCAGCACGUCGGACGUCGUGGUUGAGGCAGGGAGGUGGCACGAGUGGAGGGUGAGGUUGAGGGGGAGGCGCCGGUGAGGUUGAGGGGGAGGCGCCGAUGGCCGAGAGGGAGAAGGCUACGAUGAGAAGGGAGGGGUGGAGGGUGAGGUUGAGGGGGAGGCGCCGAUGGCCGAGAGGGAGAAGGCUACGAUGAGAAAGGAGAGGAAACGAGGACAGGAAAGAGGAGAGGAAAGGGGAUCGACCUGAU
rnacentral:lncRNA from 1 species